GUAUUGGUGGUUCACUGGUAGAAUUCUUGUCUUCCAUGCAGGAAACCCAGGUUCGAUUCCUGGCCAAUGCA
rnacentral:tRNA from 1 species